rfam:Triticum aestivum genome assembly, contig: Triticum_aestivum_CS42_TGACv1_scaffold_578496_7BL
UGUGUACUCCCUCCGUUCCAAAAUACUUGACUUCCAUUUGUCCAAAAAUGGAUGUACCUAUAUACUAAAACAUGUCUAGAUACAUAUAUAUUUUGACAAAUAGAAGGCAUGUAUUGGGCAACGGAGGGAGUAGAAU